rnacentral:lncRNA from 1 species
AUGGGGAGACAUACAAGGACAAACACAGGAUUGCCACAUGGCACUGAGGUUGGAAAGAAGCAGCUCUACCCAUCCCUCAAGGCUUGGUUAAAAUACGUUCUCCAUGAAAUUGUACCCCCAUUGGAAAGUAUCUCACACUCUUCCAGGCUUCAGGGCAUGCAGGGCCACUGGUAUUGUCCUUAUCAUGUUCGCACAGUACUAAGUAUUCUGCCAGCCGCAUCGAUCAGGCUCCUGAGAAUGGAGACUGACGGUUUGGAUGUCCAGCACCUUACAAUUUUUGCAACUGGUCAAAAGAAAGAGGGCUACCAUGCAGGAUGAUGCUCAGCUGUGGAUAAUAUCAACAACAAUGGGAUGAACAAUUUUGAUGAAUGCAAACUGAAAGAAAAUGCAGCAUAUGAAAUUCACAUUUUGGUAUAUUUUUAUUUGCUGAGUCUUUUCAGCUUUAAUAAACACAUGUCAAGAUAUACCUACUAAAUAUCC